AAGGUUUUAAGUUAAUUAAACUAAUAGCCUUCAAAGCUAUAAAUAAAAUAGUAUUUUUAAACCUUA
rnacentral:tRNA from 2 species